CUCAUGGCUGUCCACACAAGGGAGGUGUGUGGGGGAGAAGGGGGUAAUUGGAAAACACACACACACACACAUUCCCCCCCUCUGUUUCUCUUAUAGCCCUCGACACAGGGAGGAUGUGAGGAAAGGGGUAAUUGGAAGGCACACAAACACACACACACACUUUCUCCCCCCCCCUUUCUCUCAUGGCCGUCGACACAAGGGGAUGGGGGGGAAAGGAGUUAAUAGGAACGAACACACACACACCCUCUUUCUCUCAUGAGGGGUGAGGGUGGAAAGGGUUAAUUGGAACACGAACGCCCCCCCCCAAUUGAGGCGGGAAGGGGCAAACGGGGACUCAGCCUGACGAGGCUCUUCUGUCUUCCCCCCCCCAAAAAACCCCACACACAAGGGCUCGUUGACUGAGGGCGAGGGGAAAACUAAAAGGAAACCCACCCAGCCCCAUUUCUGUGAGGGAGAGAAGGGUCAGUGGGGGUGUGUGGGGGUGUCUCUAACUAGUGGCAUUCCCCUAAACUACUUGUGCCAAGUCCUUUACUUACUUUUGAGGAGACCUGUGAGCACACCUUGCCCUACCCAAGGGGAAAGGAGGCUCAAGGCGGGACUCGGUAUCCGGUGUAGUCCAGAGGCUGGAACGACAAAGUGGGACUUUGGGGGAGCCAGAGUGAAGCCCGCCACGUGAGGAAAUUCUCCAGGAAUGGGUCUUCUGUUUAGACAAUAUACUCCUGAUAAGUGAUUAGGAAUCUGUUAAAAGCUAUGAACUGCAGAGCUGGAAAGGACCCUAUGGAGCAUCAAAUCCAGCGUUUGUCAAGGUGGCACAGCGGGGAUUCGAACUCUCAACCUCUGGCUCUACAGCCAGUGCCCUACUCAUUAUUGAGUUCAGAAGGGAUGACUAGCACCUGAUCUCAAAGAUAUAGAACCAGAUCAAAGAAGGUUUCUGGAUCCUUAAGUUUGCACCAGUAAUUGAUUGCUCCCGAAGAGCAGAUGAAACAGUUGAAUGGAUCAGCCUGGUCACAACCAUGGAGUGUUGGCCGUACCUUCUACCUAGCAUGCAUUUCAUAUAAGACAUGCAAGGUGGCAUAGAUAGCUCCGUCU